GCCCUGUCGGGCCAGGAGCCGGGAAGAAGAGCCGGUGUUCUCUCUGUUCCUCGCUAGCAGCUUGGCACUUUAGCGCCGAGAUGUGCCCCAUAUCUGAGCUGCCUUCAGCUCCUUGGAAAUGGAUCCAGGUUUUUCCUACCCCUUCCGACUUCCCCAUCCCUCUCCAGAGAAUCUUUUUCUGCCCUGGUGAUCAAGGCGCGUCAAUUCAACUCUCCGUAGAGUGGCCACAGUACUGGAGAUGCAAAGAUGAAUUAAGACGUGGUACCUACGCUGGCUCUAGUGGAGGAGACAGACACGUAGUCAACUGAACUAUUUUACAAACCUGAAAUAUGUGCCACAUUGAGAUAAAUCUAAAAUGCCUAGAAUCUCUGUUCAGCUCCCCUUUACUUAGUUCUUAAGCCCAAAAGAGGUCUUCAUUCUGCUUACAGCUCCUGGUGCUCUAACUCCAGAGCAUUUUGCAUACAUCUUUAGGGUUAUUCUCACAUUGAACUGUAUUUUUGUGAAUGGCUUUCUGUCCGAAUCCAAUACCAGUGGUCUAACAAUUCACAAAAGAAAACAGAAAUCUUGGAAACUGUACUAUGGAGAAAUUGGGGACAAAAGGUAACAGUAUAUUAAUAUUAACAUUGCUGCUAGUCCUUUGCACUAGUAAAUAACUGCUAUUUGAUAAAUGAUCACAAUGUAUAAAACACUGUAGUUACAAGAUCUCAUUUAAUCUGCCUAACAACCUUGCCAAGUAUUAAUAAAACCCGUUUUGGGCGCUGACACUGACCUACAGCGCCUCAGCUCCAGCGCCAUGGCGCCCUCCAGGAAGUUCUUCGUGGAGAGGAACUGGAAGAUGAACGGGCGGAAGAAGUGUCUGGGGGAGCUCAUUGGCACUCAGAACGUGGCCACUGUGCCUGCCGACACCAAGGUGAUUUGUGCUCUCCCCACUGCCUAUAUCUAGUUGGCCCGGCAGAAGCUAGCUUCCAAGAUUGCUGUGGCUCCGCAGAACUGCUACAAAGUGACUAAUGGGGCCUUUACUGGGGAGAUCAGCCCUGGCAUGGUCAAAGACUCAGGGGUCAUGUGGGUGGUGUCGUCCUGGGGCACUUAGAAGGCAUGUCUUUGGAGAGUCAGAUGAGCUGAUUGGGCAGAAAGUGGCCCAUGCUCUGGCAGAGAGACUUGGAGUAAUUGCCUGCAUUGGGGAGAAGCUAGAUGAAAGGGAAGCUGGCAUCAUUGAGAAGGUUGUUUUUGAGCAGACAAAGGUCAUCACAGAUAAUGUGAAGGACUGGAGCCAGGUCAUCUUGGCCUAUGAUCCCGUGUGGGCCACUGGUACUGGCAAGACUGCAACACCCCAACAGGUCCAGGAGGUACACAAGAAGCUCUGAGGAUGGCUUAAGUCCAACAUCUCUGAUGCAGUGGCUCAGAGCACUGGUAUCAUUUAUGGAGGCUCUGUGACCAGGGCAACCUGCAAGGAGCUGGCCAGCCAGCCUGAUGUGGGUGCCUUCCUCAUGGGUGGUGUUUCCCUCAAGCCCAAAUUCGUAGACAUCAUCAAUGCCGAACAAUGAGCCCCAUCCGUCUUCUUUCCUACCCUUCUUGCCAACCCAGGAACUAACAGCCCAGAAGCCGAGUGACUGCCCCUCCCCUGCACAUGCUUCUGAUGGUGUCAUCUGCCCCCUAUUGUGGCCUCAUCCAAACUGUAUCUUCCUUUACUAUGUAUACCUUCACCCUGUAAUGGUUGGGACCAGGCCAAUCCCUUCUCCACUUACUAUAAUGGUUGGAACUAAAUGUCA